UGGAAAGGAACAGGACAGAACACCCUUUAGUCCAAAUUCCUCCAGCUCUUCCCCAGCACAGCAUGUAUACACAGAUCCAACACAACUUGUAUGAGGUCCAUGCUUAUCCCUCAUCUCAAAACUGUUUCCUGCACUAUUUGCACUAACUUUCAGAGGAGUAAAAGAGUGCAUGACAUCUCUCUGGUCAUGCCCCUAAUUGUCAGAUGUAGAACUAUAGAAAAUUGCAGAGAGAAAAAACAAAGCAGUGACAAAAGGCAAAGUGGGCAAGGCAUCCUUCCAUCCCUUGUCCCAAAGCAUACUGUAAUCUUCAUUCUGCUGCUCUCCUAAUGUGGCUGCAGUGGCUAUUUUGAAGGAUGCUCUCAUGCCACCUGAUACAUUGGCAGUAUUGAUGUCAGCAGGGGUGCCUCGUUCCAUUCACAGCUGUGUGAUGCCUUCAUCUCACACAGCACAGACAAUGCAGGGUGGUUCCCUGGAGUGCUGCCCUUGCAGAGUGAAGACUGUUAACUGGGCACAAGCAGAUGCUGCUCUUUCUUUCAGGAUAAACUGCUGGUCUCCCAUGUGCUCCUCCAUGCCUAUGGUCUUGGCCAUAGGUUCAACCUUGUUCCAGUGUCUCACUCUUACUCUGCUGAAUGAACCAGGCAAUGGUGGUUGUACAGCUGUGAAGGAAUGCUUGGAGAAAUAAAGAGCCCAUUACUUUUUGCCCUAAUAAUAUAACAGAUGAUAUUUCAUUAUUAAAUGAACUUUUCUUUCUCCUCCAGGAAUUCACUGUGGCAUGUUUGGAUACCAGGGUUGUGUGUACUUACAAUGUCGGUAUCUUCAUUUCAAAACCUUGCCUUCCUGAAUGCAAGAUGUUGCAAUUUCUGGUUACUUACACAAAACAGUCCUGAAUGGCAUGACUUGCACCCUGGAAUUUCAGAAGGAAAAUCUGGGAGAGGGGGUAACCAUUUGGUUCUGAGAGAGGACCACAGAAUUCAGAGUAUUUUCAGGUUUGCUGCUGGCGAACUCGGUUUGUAAAUUCACUUACAAGCUCAACAAACAAUGAAUAAAAACUAGACAGCUUGCCUGUGCUCUUGAUAA
rnacentral:lncRNA from 1 species